GGCCGCGGGAAUUCGAUUGGAUCGCCCUUAGAGUUUGAUCAUGGCUCAGAUUGAACGCUGGCGGCAGGCCUAACACAUGCAAGUCGAGCGGAUGAAGGGAGCUUGCUCUCUGAUUCAGCGGCGGACGGGUGAGUAAUGCCUAGGAAUCUGCCUAUUAGUGGGGGACAACGUUUCGAAAGGAACGCUAAUACCGCAUACGUCCUACGGGAGAAAGCAGGGGACCUUCGGGCCUUGCGCUAAUAGAUGAGCCUAGGUCGGAUUAGCUAGUUGGUGAGGUAAAGGCUCACCAAGGCGACGAUCCGUAACUGGUCUGAGAGGAUGAUCAGUCACACUGGAACUGAGACACGGUCCAGACUCCUACGGGAGGCAGCAGUGGGGAAUAUUGGACAAUGGGCGAAAGCCUGAUCCAGCCAUGCCGCGUGUGUGAAGAAGGUCUUCGGAUUGUAAAGCACUUUAAGUUGGGAGGAAGGGCAGUAAGUUAAUACCUUGCUGUUUUGACGUUACCGACAGAAUAAGCACCGGCUAACUUCGUGCCAGCAGCCGCGGUAAUACGAAGGGUGCGAGCGUUAAUCGGAAUUACUGGGCGUAAAGCGCGCGUAGGUGGUUCGUUAAGUUGGAUGUGAAAGCCCCGGGCUCAACCUGGGAACUGCAUCCAAAACUGGCGAGCUAGAGUAUGGCAGAGGGUGGUGGAAUUUCCUGUGUAGCGGUGAAAUGCGUAGAUAUAGGAAGGAACACCAGUGGCGAAGGCGACCACCUGGGCUAAUACUGAC
rnacentral:rRNA from 1 species